rnacentral:misc_RNA from 1 species
GCAAACUUGGUCAUUUAGAGGAAGUAAAAGUCGUAACAAGGUUUCCGUAGGUGAACCUGCGGAAGGAUCAUUACCGAGUUUUGAAAGGGUUGUAGCUGGUCCUCCGGGGCACGUGCACACCCGCUCAUCCACUCUACACCUGUGAACUAUUGUAGGUCGGCGUCGGGGCUCCUUAUGGGGUCUUACGGCUUCCUAUGUCUUCUACAAACCACGUCAGUUUUCAGAAUGUAAACGCGAUAAUACGCAUCAUAUACAACUUUCAGCAACGGAUCUCUUGGCUCUCGCAUCGAUGAAGAACGCAGC